ACAACAUGGAUACCCUAGGAGGUCACUUUACCCAGUCUCUGUCCAAGUGGCAUAGGGAAGCAUAGGGCUCUGCCCCAUGAUAGAACUUUGUAGAAUGAACAACAUUGCUUGUAAUAAGAUACCAAAAAGGCCCAAUCUAACAAUC
rnacentral:snoRNA from 1 species